UACGGAGGAUGCGAGCGUUAUCCGGAUUUAUUGGGUUUAAAGGGUGCGUAGGCGGCUUAGUAAGUCAGCGGUGAAAUUUUGCAGCUUAACUGUAACAGUGCCGUUGAUACUGCCAGGCUAGGAUUUGGUUGCUGUGGGUGGAAUGUGUGGUGUAGCGGUGAAAUGCUUAGAUAUCACACAGAAUAUCGAUUGCGAAGGCAGCUCACAAAGCCAAGAUUGACGCUGAGGCACGAAAGUGUGGGGAUCAAA
rnacentral:rRNA from 1 species